rnacentral:rRNA from 1 species
UAACGCGAAGAACCUUACCAAGGCUUGACAUGGGCCGGACCGGGCUGGAAACAGUCCUUCCCCUUUGGGGCCGGUUCACAGGUGGUGCAUGGUUGUCGUCAGCUCGUGUCGUGAGAUGUUGGGUUAAGUCCCGCAACGAGCGCAACCCUCGUUCCAUGUUGCCAGCACGUAAAGGUGGGGACUCAUAGGAGACUGCCGGGGUCAACUCGGAGGAAGGUGGGGACGACGUCAAGUCAUCAUGGCCCUUAUGUCCUGGGCUGCAAACAUGCUACAAUGGCCGGUACAGAGGGCUGCAAACCCGCGAGGGGGAGCCAAUCCCAAAAAGCCGGUCUCAGUUCGGAUCGGGGUCUGCAACUCGACCCCGUGAAGUCGGAGUCGCUAGUAAUCGCGGAUCAGCAACGCCGCGGUGAAUACGUUCCCGGGUCUUGUACACACCGA